ACUGGGCUCUGUCUCUGCAGCUGGUACCAUCAACACUGCCAAUAUGUGGGAUUGGGCACUACCAUCAGCUCUGCUGCAACUGCCCCUGGAUACUGGAGGUGCUGCUUCCAUCCUUGGCAAAAGAGCUCCAUGAGGGACUCCUUCUUUCUGCACCGGCUCCCAAUUCAGUCUAUGUGUUUAAAAGUUUUGAUACCCAGCAUGGUACUCACAUAAAAACAGACACACAAACCAAAGGAACAGAAUAGAGAACCCUGACAUAAAUCCAUGUAUUUACAGCCAACUCAUUUCAACGCAGACACCAAGCACAUACAAUGGGGAAAGAACAGGCUCUUCAAUAAAAGGCACUGAAAAAACUGGAUAACCAUACGCAGAAGAUUGAAACUAGACCUCUAUCUCUCACUAUAUGCAAAAAUCAAAUAAAAUGGAUUGAUGACUUAAAUUUAAGACUUGAAACUAUGAAACUACUAGAAGAAAACAUUGGGGAAAUACUCCAGGACAUUGGUCUUGGCAAAGAAUUUUUGGUGUAAGACUUCAAAAUCACAGGCAACCAAAACAAAAGACAAAUGAGAUUACAUCAACCUUCUGCACAGCAAAGGAGGCAACAAGGUAGAGACAAUCCACAGAAUAGAAGAAAAUAUUUGCAAACUGCUCAUCUGACAAAGGAUUAAUAACCAGGAUAUAUAAGGAGCUCAAACAACUCAAUAGCAAAACAACAAAUAAUACAAUUUAAAAAUGGGCAAAAGAUCUGAAUAGACAUUUUUCAAAAGAAGACAUAUAAAUGACCAAUAAGAAUAUAAAAAAAAAUGCUCAACAUUGCUAGUCAUCAGAGAAAUGCAAAUCAAAAUCACAAAGAGAUCUCUCACCCCAAUUAAAACUGGCUUUUGUCAAAAAGGCAAUAACAGAUGCUGACAAGGAUGUGAAGAAAGGAGAACCUUCAUACACCGUUGGUGGGAAUGUAAAUUAGUACAACCACUAUGGAAAACUGUAUAGAAGUUCCUCAAAAAACUAAAAAUAGAGCUAUCAUAUGUUCAGCAAUUUUUCUAGUUAUAUAUAGCCAAAAGAAAUGAAAUCAGCAUAUCAAAGACACUUCUGUACUUCCAAGUUUAUUGCAGCACUAUUCAUAAUAGCCAAAAUAUGGAACCAACCUAAGUGCCCAUUAAUGGAUGAAUGGAUAAAGAAAAUGUGUUAUAUAUAUACAACAGGACAUUAUUCAGCCAUAAGAAAGAAUGAAAUCCUGUCACAUGCAGCAACAUGGAUGGAACUGGAGGUCAUUAUAUUAAGUGAAACAAGCCAAGCACAGAAAGACAAAUAUCACAUGUUCUCACUCAUAUGUAGGAGCUUAAAAAGUGACUAUCAUGAAAUAGAGAACAGAUUGGUGGUUACCACAGGCACCAGAAAGGGUGGGGUGAGGGGGAUGAAGAGAGGUUGACUAAUGGGUACAAAUAUACAGUUCGAUAGAAGAAAUAAAAC
rnacentral:lncRNA from 1 species